GACGAACGCUGGCGGCGUGCUUAACACAUGCAAGUCGAACGGAAAGGCCCUGCUUUUGUGGGGUGCUCGAGUGGCGAACGGGUGAGUAACACGUGAGUAACCUGCCCUUGACUUUGGGAUAACUUCAGGAAACUGGGGCUAAUACCGGAUAGGAGCUCCUGCUGCAUGGUGGGGGUUGGAAAGUUUCGGCGGUUGGGGAUGGACUCGCGGCUUAUCAGCUUGUUGGUGGGGUAGUGGCUUACCAAGGCAUUGACGGGUAGCCGGCAUGAGAGGGUGAACGGCCACAUUGGGACUGAGAUACGGACCAGACUCCUACGGGAGGCAGCAGUGGGGAAUAUUGCACAAUGGGCGGAAGCCUGACGCAGCAACGCCGCGUGCGGGAUGACGGCCUUCGGCUUGUAAACCGCUUUCGCCUGUGACGAAGCGUGAGUGACGGUAAUGGGUAAAGAAGCACCGGCUAACUACGUG
rnacentral:rRNA from 1 species